rfam:Cucumis sativus cultivar 9930 chromosome 5, whole genome shotgun sequence.
AGGCUGCAGCUAAAUCAAUCCACAGAAGUUUACUGGUCGGUCGUUGUUUCAGAUCUAAUCUGAUUUUCGUCGACGAAUCUGCUUACCGAACUUCUUACAUUU